rnacentral:ncRNA from 2 species
AUAUUUCUUCAGAGCGAGGUGCAAUUCCUCACCGGUGGUGAUAGUCCACGAGUCGAAAGAUUGAAUCGGUGAAAUUCCGAUACCGACGGUAUAGUCCGGAUGGGAGAAGAAUAUU